rnacentral:lncRNA from 1 species
UUUUUUUUGCUUGGCUUGAUUUUAAUGUUGUUGUUUUUUGAACAUGAUAACCAUGCUGAACCAUUGCUGCUAAAUCCAUGCUGUAUGCUGCCAACCUGCUUACUGCAUAAACCUCACCCAUACCAUGCUGUUGGUCAGUGUUUGUUUGGUUGAUGAUUGAUGUUACAUAAGUACAUAUGCCAUGCUACCUAUGUGCUUUUGCUUGAUUUGCU